GACGAACGCUGGCGGCGUGCUUAACACAUGCAAGUCGAACGGAAAGGCCCUGCUUUUGUGGGGUGCUCGAGUGGCGAACGGGUGAGUAACACGUGAGUAACCUGCCCUUGACUUUGGGAUAACUUCAGGAAACUGGGGCUAAUACCGGAUAGGAGCUCCUGCUGCAUGGUGGGGGUUGGAAAGUCUCGGCGGUUGGGGAUGGACUCGCGGCUUAUCAGCUUGUUGGUGGGGUAGUGGCUUACCAAGGCUUUGACGGGUAGCCGGCCUGAGAGGGUGACCGGCGACAUUGGGACUGAGGUACGGCCCAGACUCCUACGGGAGGCAGCAGUGGGGAAUAUUGCACAAUGGGCGGAAGCCUGAUGCAGCAACGCCGCGUGCGGGAUGACGGCCUUCGGGUUGUAAACCGCUUUCGCCUGUGACGAAGCGUGAGUGACGGUAAUGGGUAAAGAAGCACCGGCUAACUACGUG
rnacentral:rRNA from 1 species